UCAUUUACCUUUUGGCACCCAAGAAGGGGAGUGGAUCUUGAACAUCAGUCAUGGUCUGGAGUCAAGAAAUGAAGAGGGCAAGCAAUGUUUUUGGCAUCCUGACUACAGUUACAUGCAGUUUGGGGCUGCUGCAAUGGCAACUCAACGGAGAGGUUAGGAACACCAACUCCAGGAUCAGGCAAUCUUUGAAUCCCUGUCACUAGCAGCUUUGUAUAUUGGAGCAAGUUACUUAACAUCGGUCUGCUGGAGUUUGCUGGAGGUUCACUCCAGACCCUAUUUGCCUGGGUAUCACCAGUGGAGGCUGCAGAACAGCAAAGAUUGCUGCCUAUUCCUUCCUCUGGAAGCUUCUUCCUAGAGAGUCACCUGCCAGAUGCCAGCCAGAGCUCCCCGAAAUGAAGGUAUUCAGUGACAUCUUUCUAAAUUGUUUAAAAUGAGAAGCAUUGCACACUGAGAGUCAGGAUCCAAGUGUCUUUGACUGAGCCAACUCAGCUCUGCUAUUAACUUAUGGUGUGAUCGCAGGCUGUCUAGAAAAGGACACCAACAAUCACCCAUGAAGAUUGCCCUUCAACCUUUGGGAGGAAAUGAUCGAAAUGGGAGCUAGAGAAGAUUGUUGUUGGAAUCUCACUUGAAAAUAGCUUUAAAUGCUUCUCCAUCCAGUUCUUCAGAGAGCUACUAUCAACAGAUUGAGUUGACAGGAAAAAGUCAUAAUCCAGGCCAAAGUGAGCAAACUCCCAAGAGCAUUCCUGGUCAGCACCGCAGCAAAUCCGUGGCAAGUGCAGGUAAUUCAUUCUCAUGACAGUGUCCAGAGAGUAGGGCUAAAAUGAAAACAGCGGUGAGUGAUGUGGUGCUGCUUCACCUUUUUCACUGGGGAAAUAUGAAUAUAAGAGAAAGUAAUUUGUGCAGAAGUAAAAUGGAGGUGUCUUUAGUUUGUGAAAAUCCCUGGUGCCCCUAGUCAUUCCUCUAUACCAUGAAACUCCCACAGUUACUAUGCCCUAAAGAAACAUUAUUUGGACUGGCUAAACAUAGGACUGAAAAAGAAAAAGAAAAAAAAGGCAAACAGUGAAGGGUGAAGGAACCAUAGCCUCAAGAUUGGAGAUUAUAAGCAAUUUCUCCAUGGCUGGAAUUCAGUUGAUCUGGGACUGAACCUAUUUCUAAUGGGGUCUUGAUAUAUUGCCCAGGCUGGAGUGCAGGGGCUAUUCACAGGCACAAUCAUAGCUCACUACAGUCUCAAACUCCUAAUCUCAAGCAGUAGCUGGGACUGUAAGUAUGCACCAACACUCCCGGUUUGGGUAUCUCCAUUGAUUGGCAACCAGCACCACAGUAGAUGCUGAUGAAAAGAAAGUUAUGAAUGUCAUGUAAAAUGACAGUAGUAUUAGCAAAUGUGCUUUUAAUUAUAAGAAAAUUACAAUAUGUAAAAAAAUUUCAAUUUUCCCAUAUUAUCUCUUAAUAAUAACUGCCAUUUGUUGAGCCCAUUGGGUAUGUUACAUAUAUUAACACAACAGGAUGGACAUUAUCUAUCUUAUAUAUAUUAUGUGUAUAUAUACGGAAAACAGGACACAAAUUGUCUGAGGCCAUGGACAAUUAGCUUGCAGUAAAGUAGGAUUCUAAAUUAGGUUUCUCUAGCUCCAAGACCCAUGCCAUUUUGUUUGGUCAUUUGCUUCUGAUGAAUCAAAUAUUAAUUCAGCCAAAGACAGCUAUUCAAAGCUGGUUGAAUAACUUACUAUGUGUAAUUCACUUGUGUCCUGCCUUUCUUCCGAACUUUUGUACAAAACCUUGAUUAUUUUAAUAAGGCAUUCUAUACAUAAAGUUUCAAAUAAACCAUAAGUACCUCAAGAAAAUGUCAUAUAAUUUAGAAUUGAAUCAUAGCAUAUUUUUAAUCUGGAAGCAACAUAUCUAAAUAAGCCAUUUUUAUAUUAUAAAUACAAACAGGUACAAAGAAGUAUAGUUCACUUUACAAGCUGUUGUACAUGCAUAAUACCAUAUUAUGCUACCAAAGAAACUAUUAAGUUAUACAUAUUUUUUACAGCUUUAACUAUUUUUGUUGUCAAUUUCCUCUAAUAAGAUUUUUUCUGGAUAAACAAAAAUUUAUCUACUCAAAUGAUUGUUUUUCUUCAACAUCAUAAUGUUGCAGGCCUAUUGAUGUAUAUUUUUGUGUACUAAAUAGUUUGUGGAGCUCUUCUUGAAGAAUUAUCUUCAGAGCUGAUUAACCAGACACACCCUCCAGACAUCAUAGUCACAGCUGCUUUGAGACAGCAACAACCUCAUCCCCGCAAAUAGUAUGGAUUCCUGUCUUAUUCAAUAGGUCUGAAUUUUAAAUACUCUUAGCUUAUUUCAAGAACUAAAUCUAUCCUCCACAAAUAAAAAUGUGCUGCCGCUCAGAAUAUUUAGGAGAAUAUGUGAUAGCCAAGAUACUUUUGGCUUAUUUCAAAAAUUCAUCUAUCUCCACAAAGGAAAAUGUUUCACCAUUCAGAAUAUUCAAGAGAAUUUUCUUAGAAAAGAAAUCCAAGAUUGUAUUCAUUGGAAUAACAGACCUUUCUUCAAGGUGACUUCUUUCAAAAGAACAAUAUUUAGGGGUAUAUAGAACAUCAUUUUUAAAAUAAUUUAUUUUGCUAUAUUUACCACAUUUCAUGACACCCUAAAAGAUUUUGGCUAAUGAAAUUUAUACAGUUCAAAUGUGUAUUCCUGAAGAGACAAGACUGAGGGAAAAAAAAUUAUCUCAAAGUCAUUCUCAAAUUAGACAUGAAAUGAAUUAUUAAUUUCUACAUAUUUUACCAUCAUGCUUGUAGUUUUAAUAAACAAAAAUCAAAUGCAUAUAGGCUUCACACACUUUGUGUAAUUGCUUGUUUAACAUCCCCAAAUUCCAUAAAUGCAAAAACUAGAUCUGUCUGGCUUUCCAUUAAGUCCCCAGCACCUAGCAAGGUGCUUAACAAAUAGCAGAUGGAUGUUGGAAGGAAUAAAGGAACAAAGAAAAGAAUAGAAGAAGUUAGUGACUUGAUUCUAUACAGAGUGGACCUUGACACAUACUGCAAGUGAAUGUUAAACUAAAAGUAUAAUUUCUUUAUCAGUGAAUAUAUUUCCAUGAAUUUUAAGUAUUUUGCUGAUGAUUUAUUAAAUAUGUAUUUCACUACUUUCUUUUCUUUUAAUCAGUCCUAUUCCAUCCCCUUCAAAUAAUAAAAAAGUUUCAAUGAGCUGUGACGAGAGACCACAGUAAAUCCAAGCUUGGAAAAUGAGCUGUGUCAGCCCUCCCAAAGACAACCUCCUUGCAACAGGAAGUUGUCAAAGCCCCAGGGACCAGAAACCAUGAAGUUAUUUGGAUGAUAGAUACAGAGAUACGCUGCUCAGAUGCCCCUUUCAAGAAAGAACUUGCUGCCUCUUGCUCAGUUUCUUCCUGGAGCUUUCAAGCAUCUUUGCAGGGAAGUCACAUCCUUCCCAGGGCAGCCCGACUGACCAAAGUGCUGGAACUCAUCCACUAGGUUCCUGGAGUCCCAUCAAGGGAGAAGAAGUUUAACAGAGAUGAGGCAUCCUGGAAUAUCCAGGUGGCAACAUGGAGUAGAGAUGAUGACUACUUCUAGGCCAUGAAAAACCAGCAGGAUCCAUGAUGGCUGAGAAAUGACAAUAUUGGUGAAUUAAGUACAUCUCAGGGAGAAGCCCUAUUAAAUUAGCCUAAUACCUU
rnacentral:lncRNA from 1 species